GAUGAACGCUGGCGGCGUGCCUAACACAUUCAAGUCGAACGGUGACGGGGACUUCGGUCCCCUGAUCAGUGGCGGACGGGUGAGUAACGCGUGAGCAACCUGCCUCUGCGUGGGGGAUAACGAUUGGAAACGAUCGCUAAUACCGCAUAAUGUAAUUUCUUGGCAUCUUGAAAUUACCAAAGAUUUAUUGCGCAGAGAUGGGCUCGCGUCUGAUUAGAUAGUUGGUGGGGUAACGGCCUACCAAGUCGACGAUCAGUAGCCGGACUGAGAGGUUGAACGGCCACAUUGGAACUGAGAAACGGUCCAGACUCCUACGGGAGGCAGCAGUGGGGAAUAUUGGGCAAUGGGCGAAAGCCUGACCCAGCGACGCCGCGUGCGGGAAGAAGGUCUUCGGAUUGUAAACCGCUGUUGAUAGGGAAGAAGAAAGUGACGGUACCUAUCGAGGAAGUCACGGCUAACUACGUG
rnacentral:rRNA from 1 species